GGUUAAGUGAAUAAGGGCGCACGGUGGAUGCCUUGGCACUAGGAGCCGAUGAAGGACGGGACUAACACCGAUAUGCUUUGGGGAGCUGUAAGUAAGCUAUGAUCCAGAGAUUUCCGAAUGGGGGAACCCAAUAUCUUUUAUAGGAUAUUACUUUUCAGUGAAUACAUAGCUGAUUAGAGGUAGACGCAGAGAACUGAAACAUCUUAGUACCUGCAGGAAGAGAAAGAAAAUUCGAUUCCCUGAGUAGCGGCGAGCGAAACGGGAAGAGCCCAAACCAACAAGCUUGCUUGUUGGGGUUGUAGGACUCCAAUAUGGUAGUCUGUUAGUAUAGUUGAAGGAUUUGGAAAAUUCCGCUAAAGAGGGUGAAAGCCCCGUAGACGAAAUGCUGACAACACCUAGGAGGAUCCUGAGUACGGCGGAACACGAGAAAUUCCGUCGGAAUCCGCGGGGACCAUCCCGCAAGGCUAAAUACUCCCUAGUGACCGAUAGUGAACCAGUACCGUGAGGGAAAGGUGAAAAGCACCCCGGAAGGGGAGUGAAAUAGAUCCUGAAACCGUGUGCCUACAACAAGUCAAAGCUCGUUAAUGAGUGAUGGCGUGCCUUUUGUAGAAUGAACCGGCGAGUUACGAUUGCAUGCGAGGUUAAGUCGAAGAGACGGAGCCGCAGCGAAAGCGAGUCUGAAUAGGGCGAAUGAGUAUGUAGUCGUAGACCCGAAACCAUGUGAUCUACCCAUGUCCAGGUUGAAGGUGCGGUAAAACGCACUGGAGGACCGAACCCACGUACGUUGAAAAGUGCGGGGAUGAGGUGUGGGUAGCGGAGAAAUUCCAAACGAACUUGGAGAUAGCUGGUUCUCUCCGAAAUAGCUUUAGGGCUAGCCUCGGAAUUGAGAAUGAUGGAGGUAGAGCACUGUUUGGACUAGGGGCCCAUCUCGGGUUACCGAAUUCAGAUAAACUCCGAAUGCCAUUCAUUUAUAUCCGGGAGUCAGACUGCGAGUGAUAAGAUCCGUAGUCGAAAGGGAAACAGCCCAGACCACCAGCUAAGGUCCCAAAAUAUAUGUUAAGUGGAAAAGGAUGUGGGGUUGCACAGACAACUAGGAUGUUGGCUUAGAAGCAGCCACCAUUUAAAGAGUGCGUAAUAGCUCACUAGUCGAGUGACCCUGCGCCGAAAAUGUACCGGGGCUAAACAUAUUACCGAAGCUGUGGACUACACCAUUAGGUGUAGUGGUAGGAGAGCGUUCUAAGGGCGUUGAAGGUCGAUCGUGAGGACGGCUGGAGCGCUUAGAAGUGAGAAUGCCGGUAUGAGUAGCGAAAGACAGGUGAGAAUCCUGUCCACCGUAUGACUAAGGUUUCCUGGGGAAGGCUCGUCCGCCCAGGGUUAGUCGGGACCUAAGCCGAGGCCGAUAGGCGUAGGCGAUGGACAACAGGUUGAUAUUCCUGUACCAGUUGUUUUUGUUUGAGCAAUGGAGGGACGCAGUAGGCUAAGGAAUGCAUGCGAUUGGAAGUGCAUGUCCAAGCAAUGAGUCUUGAGUAGAGUUAAAUGCUUUACUCUUUAAGGACAAGUUGUGAUGGGGAGCGAAAUAAUAGUAGCGAAGUUCCUGAUGUCACACUGCCAAGAAAAGCUUCUAGUGAGAAAACAACUGCCCGUACCGUAAACCGACACAGGUAGUCGAGGAGAGUAUCCUAAGGUGAGCGAGCGAACUCUCGUUAAGGAACUCGGCAAAAUGACCCCGUAACUUCGGGAGAAGGGGUGCUGACUUCGGUCAGCCGCAGUGAAUAGGCCCAAGCGACUGUUUAUCAAAAACACAGGUCUCUGCAAAAUCGUAAGAUGAAGUAUAGGGGCUGACGCCUGCCCGGUGCUGGAAGGUUAAGAGGAUGGGUUAGCUUCGGCGAAGCUCAGAAUUGAAGCCCCAGUAAACGGCGGCCGUAACUAUAACGGUCCUAAGGUAGCGAAAUUCCUUGUCGGGUAAGUUCCGACCCGCACGAAAGGCGUAACGAUUUGGGCACUGUCUCAACGAGAGACUCGGUGAAAUUUUAGUACCUGUGAAGAUGCA
rnacentral:rRNA from 1 species